UCGCUCUCCGCACAGCAUGGACUCCGGCUGCGGAUCCCCACCGCCGCCCUCCACCCCUCCGCACAGGGCGCCCCGUGCCCCGCGGUAGCCUCUCUCCUCCCCAGCCGGCGCUGUGCCCGGGGCGCACCGGGAGGAGGGACCAGCAUCCGAUGCCCGGGCGCAGAUACUGACACCAAGGGAAUCCAGAUGCCCCCCCACGCCAUGUGGGCCCCCGGGAACCCGGGCCCACCACCCCGGCUGCCUGGCGGUCCCGGCCUCGGUUCUGGCCGGGCGGAGAUUCUGCAGACAUUCAGGGAUUGGCUUCGCCACUGAGCCCUCAGGCCUCUUCCAGCCAUCACCCCCACACCCCUAGCCUUCCCGGGCAGGCCCCGGCCCCGGCU